rnacentral:rRNA from 1 species
UGGGGAAUUUUCCGCAAUGGGCGAAAGCCUGACGGAGCAAUACCGCGUGAGGGAGGACGGCUUUUGGGUUGUAAACCUCUUUUAUCAGGGAAGAAUCGAUGACGGUACCUGAUGAAUCAGCAUCGGCUAACUCCGUGCCAGCAGCCGCGGUAAUACGGAGGAUGCAAGCGUUAUCCGGAAUUAUUGGGCGUAAAGCGUCCGUAGGUGGUUUAUCAAGUCUGCUGUCAAAGCGUGCGGCUUAACCGCAUAAGGGCAGUGGAAACUGAUGAACUAGAGUGCGAUAGGGGUAACAGGAAUUCCCAGUGUAGCGGUGAAAUGCGUAGAUAUUGGGAAGAACACCAGCGGCGAAAGCGUGUUACUGGGUCUGCACUGACACUGAGGGACGAAA